rnacentral:rRNA from 1 species
AUACGGAGGAUGGGAGCGUUAUCCGGAUUUAUUGGGUUUAAAGGGUGCGUAGGCUGUGCGUUAAGUCAGGGGUGAAAUGCCGUCGCUCAACGACGGAGCUGCCCUUGAUACUGGCGUGCUGGAGUACGGAUGCCGUUGGAGGAAUGAGUGGUGUAGCGGUGAAAUGCUUAGAUAUCACUCAGAACACCGAUUGCGAAGGCAUCUGACGAAUCCGUCACUGACGCUGAGGCACGAAAGCGUGGGGAUAGAACAGGAUUAGAUACCCUGGUAUUCCACGCCGUAAACGAUGAUGACUAACCGUCGGCGAUAGACAGCCGGUGGCCAAGCGAAAGCGAUAAGUCAUCCACCUGGGGAGUACGCCGGCAACGGUGAAACUCAAAUGAAUUGACGGGG